UUUCCUAAUUUGAAAAUGGAUGCACCUUAGUGGACAAGGCGCUACAAAUGAACACAGAAAUAAUUACUCAUGGUGGGAGCUGCCUGAAGCAUAACGGUAAAAUUUAAGAACCUUGCAAAUGGAGAGCAAUGUUUCCUAUAGAGGCACAAGACCGGCACCCAGCGAGUGGCAACCUGUAGGAGCCGAUGUGUUUGCGAGGGCGUGGCACCAAAAGCCGAACCCGUGGUGUGGACAGUCUCAUGGGUAUCUCUCAGCGGCGGAAUGAGCCAGCACCGGCACGAAUGAGCCGGCGCAGCGCAGAACGGGCUGGACCAGGAACUGAAACUGUGGGGCCCAUAGAAUUGGGACAUGAUGUGAGAGUGAAAAGAAAAAAGCUGUUUAAAAUCUAAA